rnacentral:rRNA from 1 species
UACGUAGGUGGCAAGCGUCGUCCGGAAUUAUUGGGCGUAAAGCGCGCGCAGGCGGUCCUUUAAGUCUGAUGUGAAAGCCCACGGCUCAACCGUGGAGGGUCAUUGGAAACUGGGGGGACUUGAGUACAGAAGAGAAGAGUGGAAUUCCACGUGUAGCGGUGAAAUGCGUAGAGAUGUGGAGGAACACCAGUGGCGAAGGCGACUCUUUGGUCUGUAACUGACGCUGAGGCGCGAAAGCGUGGGGAGCAAACAGG